rnacentral:rRNA from 1 species
UACCAGCAGUCCAAGUGCAGCCGCUUUUAUUGGGUCUAAAACAUCCGUAGCUUGUUUGGUAAGUCUUCUGUGAAAUCUGACAUCUUAAGUGUCAGGCGUGCAAGAGAUACUGCCAAGCUAGAGACCGGGAGACGUAAGGAGUAUGUAUAGGGUAGCGGUCAAAUGCACUGAUCCUAUAUAGACUAACGAUAGCGAAGGCACCUUACGAGAACGGAUCUGACAGUGAGGGAUGAAGGCUAGGGUCGCAAAACGGAUUAGAUACCCCCGUA